UCUGGGACAAGCCCUGGAAACGGGGUCUAAUACCGGAUAACACUCCUGCCUGCAUGGGCGGGGGUUAAAAGCUCCGGCGGUGAAGGAUGAGCCCGCGGCCUAUCAGCUUGUUGGUGGGGUAAUGGCCUACCAAGGCGACGACGGGUAGCCGGCCUGAGAGGGCGACCGGCCACACUGGGACUGAGACACGGCCCAGACUCCUACGGGAGGCAGCAGUGGGGAAUAUUGCACAAUGGGCGAAAGCCUGAUGCAGCGACGCCGCGUGAGGGAUGACGGCCUUCGGGUUGUAAACCUCUUUCAGCAGGGAAGAAGCGAAAGUGACGGUACCUGCAGAAGAAGCACCGGCUAACUACGUGCCAGCAGCCGCGGUAAUACGUAGGGUGCGAGCGUUGUCCGGAAUUAUUGGGCGUAAAGAGCUCGUAGGCGGCUUGUCACGUCGGAUGUGAAAGCCCGGGGCUUAACCCCGGGUCUGCAUUCGAUACGGGCAGGCUAGAGUGUGGUAGGGGAGAUCGGAAUUCCUGGUGUAGCGGUGAAAUGCGCAGAUAUCAGGAGGAACACCGGUGGCGAAGGCGGAUCUCUGGGCCAUUACUGACGCUGAGGAGCGAAAGCGUGGGGAGCGAACAGGAUUAGAUACCCUGGUAGUCCACGCCGUAAACGUUGGGAACUAGGUGUUGGCGACAUUCCACGUCGUCGGUGCCGCAGCUAACGCAUUAAGUUCCCCGCCUGG
rnacentral:rRNA from 1 species